rnacentral:rRNA from 1 species
GGUUGUCGUCAGCUCGUGUCGUGAGGUGUUGGUUAAGUCCCGCAACGAGCGCAACCCCUAUUGUUAGUUGCCAUCAUUCAGUUGGGCACUCUAGCGAGACUGCCGGUAAUAAACCGGAGGAAGGUGGGGAUGACGUCAAAUCAUCAUGCCCCUUAUGACCUGGGCUACACACGUGCUACAAUGGUUGGUACAACGAGUUGCGAGUCGGUGACGGCGAGCUAAUCUCUUAAAGCCAAUCUCAGUUCGGAUUGUAGGCUGCAACUCGCCUACAUGAAGUCGGAAUCGCUAGUAAUCGCGGAUCAGCACGCCGCGGUGAAUACGUUCCCGGGCCUU